CUGUUUUGUUUGCUGCUUUAGCUCUUGUGGAUGAGUGUGUCCUUUUCCACCCUUCCAUUCCAGGUGCUGAUUUCCCGCUAUGGAAAUGCUCAUCACCAGCUGUGCCAUAUUAUGGCACAUUAAAGCGUCCGUUUGCUGCUCAUUUCAAUAAGAGCGGUUUUAAUGAGGAAACAUCGAUCCUCUCUGGUCUGAAUGAGACUGUAAUGAAAUAAGAGAGUGAGGGAUGGAGAAGAGUGGCAAUCACUGAUGAAUGUGCCGUCUCAUUGAAAUCGACGUGGUGAAAAGGCACAAGCCUCCCCUCACCAAUCAGCCCUCAUUAGUAGUGACACAAACAACUUCAUGCUGUUUUCCUACAGGUCAGCCGGAGAUGAACGAUGACACGGACCUGUGCACUCUCUCUCUAUGGGUCACCGGUGAAUUUAACAACAGCAAUCAGAGGCUCAUCAGAGAGUUUGUGAUGAGUUCAACCACAGGACUUUGAUGUGCUGCAGGUGGACGGGAGGUCAAAGGCAGAGAUACAAACAAUUUCAACCUCUCCUGAGAGCUGCCAAUGGAUCAGCAGCGGCUUUAACAAAAGAUCAGUCAGAUUAUAAAAGAAGGGCUUGAUCAUGCAGUACAAACAGUAUGAACAAGACCCAGAUGAAUGAAGAUGAAGAGGAACAUUAGCAAAUAAGGAGGACAUAUUCAACUGCCAGAAGCCACAGACAAUGUGCAUUUUGAAUAAAAUAUGAGGAAUUAUUUUAGGAUAAUAUCUGCACGUUUAUUUGAUGAUAAUGUGACUUGACUUAUAUUCCUUUUAGACCAAAAAUCCUGAAUAUAUUUUGUUGAAGACAAGACAGCAAGAGUGAGGAACAACACACGUUUUCAUUCGUUUUCUCCAUUAGUUCUGCAUUUCCAGGUUUCCGUGGUGAUGGAGACUCCCGGAUCUCCAUUCAGUAUGACAUCUGAGAGCAAUCUUUACAGCACCACAGCUCUGCCAAACUCUGAUGCUUAUGAUCAAAGCAUGAACGAAACAGAUGACUACAUACUGUACGUGACUGAGACACUGUCUAUAUUUCAAUCAUCUCUUGCCUGGAAAUUCCCAUGAACUGUUUGUCUAUGUAUGCUGUUUAUUCUCUUACCAAAUCUAAACAAGCUGCUCCAGUUUUUGUCAUGAAUCUACUAAUUUCAGACCUCAUCCAGACUGUUUGCAUGCUACCAUUAAUCAUUAACUUUAACUUCUACUGGACGAUCGCAUUAAUGAUCACAUGGACGUGGGCUGGUUUCACAGGUUUGUAUUUCAUGACAUGUAUAGCCAUAGAGUGAUACGUUCUGAUCGCUCAUCCCAUUUUGCACAGGUCUCAUCGCUCAGUCAAAUGUUUUGUUUGUACUUCACUGACCGGUUGGCUUCUGCCUUUUAUUGUUAUUCCAGUUUACGUUUUGAUAAAUGCCCUGGCAUAUAUAAUACCCUUCCUCCCCUAUGCAGUGAUCAUUUUGUGUUUUGUAGGUUCAUGCAGGUCUCUCUCUCACUCAGUCUCUCUCACUCCUCUGAAGAAGCAGUUAGUUCUGGCUCCUUUGUUCUUUGUGGUGAUCAGUUACACCUUUCUAAUCCUGCCCUUGCAAAUUUGUCUUUUUGUGAAUGCAAAAAUCGACAAUUACUCUUGUUCUUUAUCUGUUAAACCCACUUGUGGACUGUUUUCUGUAUGUGUUCAUGUGGAGCAACGCUGAGAACAUCAUCAGGUCGCCUCACUUCUGCUCCAGACUGAAGAGAGUCCAGACUGAAAUGGGACAGACCACAUAACUGAUGUACAGAGUGAUUCACAGCAGACUGCUGAUGUCAGCAAUCAAUUUACAAAUGUACAGUAAUAGCUCUCAAAUAACUCAUUACAGCAUGUUCAACUGGAUGAAAUGUGCAUGACUUAAGUGUUCAUCUUGUGAUGGGAUUCAAUAAAUGAAAUGGUUCAUGUCCUCUUGUUAUUGUGCUUUAGGUUUGUACAUCACUUAUUGAUAAACUACAUUUUGUAAUGGAAUUAUGUGUCAGUAUG
ensembl:lncRNA